AUUGAACGCUGGCGGCAGGCCUAACACAUGCAAGUCGAGCGAGCGGCGGACGGGUGAGUAAUGUCUGGGAAACUGCCCGAUGGAGGGGGAUAACUACUGGAAACGGUGGCUAAUACCGCAUACCAUCAGAUGUUCCCAGAUGGGAUUAGCUAGUAGGUGGGGUAACGGCUCACCUAGGCGACGAUCCCUAGCUGGUCUGAGAGGAUGACCAGCCACACUGGGACUGAGACAAGGUCCAGACUCCUACGGGAGGCAGCAGUGGGGAAUAUUGCACAAUGGGCGCAAGCCUGAUGCAGCCAUGCCGCGUGUAUGAAGAAGGCCUUAGGGUUGUAAAGUACUUUCAGCGGGGAGGCGUUACCCGCAGAAGAAGCACCGGCUAACUCCGUGCCAGCAGCCGCGGUAAUAC
rnacentral:rRNA from 1 species